CCUACGGGUGGCAGCAGUGGGGAAUAUUGGGCAAUGGGCGCAAGCCUGACCCAGCAACGCCGCGUGAAGGAAGAAGGCUUUCGGGUUGUAAACUUCUUUUCUGGGGGACGAACAAAUGACGGUACCCCUGGAAUAAGCCACGGCUAACUACGUGCCAGCAGCCGCGGUAAUACGUAGGUGGCAAGCGUUAUCCGGAUUUAUUGGGUGUAAAGGGCGUGUAGGCGGGAAUGCAAGUCAGAUGUGACAACUGAGGGCUCAACCCUCGGACUGCAUUUGAAACUGUUUGUCUUGAGUGAUGGAGAGGCAGGCGGAAUUCCGGGUGUAGCGGUGAAAUGCGUAGAUAUAAGGAGGAACACCAGUGGCGAAGGCGGAUUGCUGGACGGUAACUGACGCUGAGGCGCGAAAGCGUGGGGAGCAAACAGGAUUAGAUACCCGAGUAGUC
rnacentral:rRNA from 1 species